AUGGAAGUGGAGAAAUUGUCCUCAAUUUUCCCAUUUGUAAAAUGGAGAUGUCAAUAUAGUUGAUGGUUUAUCGCUCAGUGGGUAAAGUGCUGUACAUGAGGACAUGACUUUGGAUUCUUGGCACUCACAUAAAAAAAUCCAGCAUUACCAACCAAUGAGAAAUUCUGUCUAUCUUUGCAAUCCAAGGACCAGAGACUUCCAAUUGGAAAGUAGCCAGAAUCAAGAUUGUAUUUAUAGUAAAGAGCCCAGCCUGUGUGAAGGAAGAGAAGUCGGACAUACAGUGAGUCUAGGACUGAAGAACUGAUGUGCUGGAAGUGGUGAACCUGUGGCCAGAUGGACUGUGAACCC